rnacentral:rRNA from 1 species
CCUACGGGAGGCAGCAGUGGGGAAUCUUGCGCAAUGGGCGAAAGCCUGACGCAGCAACGCCGCGUGCGGGAAGAAGGCUUUCGGGCUGUAAACCGCUUUCAGCAGGAACGAAAAUGACGGUACCUGCAGAAGAAGGAGCGGCCAACUAUGUGCCAGCAGCCGCGGUGAUACAUAGGCUUCAAGCGUUGUCCGGAUUUAUUGGGCGUAAAGAGUUCGUAGGCGGUCGAGUAAGUCGGGUGUGAAAAUUCUGGGCUCAACCCAGAGACGCCACCCGAUACUGCUUGACUUGAGUUCGAUAGGGGAGUGGGGAAUUCCUAGUGUAGCGGUGAAAUGCGCAGAUAUUAGGAGGAACACCGGUGGCGAAGGCGCCACUCUGGAUCGAUACUGACGCUGAGGAACGAAAGCAUGGGUAGCAAACAGGAUUAGAUACCCUGGUAGUCCAUGCCGUAAACGGUGGGCACUAGGUGUGGGUUUCUAUUAACGAAAUCCGCGCCGUCGCUAACGCAUUAAGUGCCCCGCCUGGGGAGUACGGUCGCAAGACUAAAACUCAAAUGAAAUUGGUAGCGUUGAGAGUUGCGAGACGACGACGAGGGAGAGG